rnacentral:rRNA from 1 species
GACGGACGCUGGCGGCGUGCCUAAUACAUGCAAGUUGAGCGAUGAAGAUUGGUGCUUGCACCAAUUUGAAGAGCAGCGAACGGGUGAGUAACGCGUGGGGAAUCUGCCUUUGAGCGGGGGACAACAUUUGGAAACGAAUGCUAAUACCGCAUAACAACUUUAAACAUAAGUUUUAAGUUUGAAAGAUGCAAUUGCAUCACUCAAAGAUGAUCCCGCGUUGUAUUAGCUAGUUGGUGAGGUAAAGGCUCACCAAGGCGAUGAUACAUAGCCGACCUGAGAGGGUGAUCGGCCACAUUGGGACUGAGACACGGCCCAAACUCCUACGGGAGGCAGCAGUAGGGAAUCUUCGGCAAUGGACGAAAGUCUGGCCGAGCAACGCCGCGUGAGUGAAGAAGGUUGUCGGAUCGUAAAACUCUGUUGGUAGAGAAGAACGUUGGUGAGAGUGGAAAGCUCAUCAAGUGACGGUAACUACCCAGAAAGGGACGGCUAACUACGUG